GACAGAGGGUGCAAACGUUGUUCGGAAUUACUGGGCGUAAAGCGCACGUAGGCGGAUUGCUAAGUCAGGGGUGAAAUCCUGGAGCUCAACUCCAGAACUGCCUUUGAUACUGGCGACCUUGAGUCCGGGAGAGGUGAGUGGAACUGCGAGUGUAGAGGUGAAAUUCGUAGAUAUUCGCAAGAACACCAGUGGCGAAGGCGGCUCACUGGCCCGGUACUGACGCUGAGGUGCGAAAGCG
rnacentral:rRNA from 1 species